CACGAUUUCGGUUUACACCGUUUUCAUCCUAUGUUUAUACGUACCACAUGUUUCCUCGGGGGGCUUGCCCCCCGUUAGGACACCCCAUAAACCUUUUUGUAAUAGCAGUUAGCGUCUGGAAAACUAAGUUAAUUAUUA
rnacentral:misc_RNA from 1 species